AGCUUUUAUCGGAGCAUGCGUGCUAUUGUGGUGGCUCCAGCGCUGACUGCUUAGGAUUCCUCUGUGGGAGAGGGAGGUGGUUUCCUAUAGGAAGAGGGUUGGGUAAUAAAGCCACAGAGAUUUGCUGAUACAUUUGCUAGACACGACUGCUGGUCAUUGAGGAAGCUGUUUUGUGGUUCAUUAAUAAGGUGUUUCCCAGCAUGUCGCUGCUGCCCACAGCCAUCUCUUCCACUGGAGUUGAUGGUUUCCUGGUCUACGACAAGGGCAAUUAUCCCCUCCGUGCUAACACUGAUCUUUGCAUCACUUGACUCCAGUAAUGAGCAGAAAAAAUAAGGACUAGCUGGGAAUCAAUUUUUGCAAGGCAUGGAAUAUCACUAAUCUUUUGAUUCUGAAAUGGUGGUGGUGUGUAAGAUUACCUGAGCAUUCCCAGGAAUAAGUGUCACUACUGUUUGCAGAAAUUAGUAGAUGGAAGCUAAAGUAUUCUCUUUGCAUAGGAGUCACAUUAUCUUUUUUGUUUUAUAAAUAGUUUUUUUAUGAUUAUAAGCGAAGGUAUGAGCAUCAGAGAAUAUUACCAUGUAGAAAAUAGUUGAAAGAAGAGAGAAACAUCAUUUACAAUUCCACCAUAAUAAAUAACACUACUAUUGUUAACAUUCUGGUGGACUUUCUUCUAAUCUUAGCAUUUUUUAGUCUUGGAAGCUGAGAUCAUAAUUAACAUAUAAUUUGUACCCUUUUUUUUCCCUUUCACUUAAUGUUAUACGAACACUUUCCUAAGUUACUAAAAGUGGAAAAAAUCUUCUAAAGGAUUUUUUACCUUAAUGUUAUAAUUACUCUCAAUGUUAUUAUAAAGCCUCAUAUGUAUAUACAUACAUAUAAUUAAUAACUAUAUAAUAUUCCUUUCCUGUUAAUCAGUCAUAACUGCCUGAGGUCACAUACCUGGAUAUUCACAGACUAGAACUAGAAACAUUUUCUUUCAUUAUUCUUACUAAAAACAUAAUCCAAGUUUAUUUUCCUUCACAUUCUUGGAUGACAGAGAAUAUGAAAAGUAGAAUUGGAAUUUUGAAUAAACUUAUUCACUCUUAAAGAAGUUUCACAUCCUGUCUACUCAGUCAUUUUUAUCGUGCUUCCCACAAGAUCAUUCUAUUUUGAAUAUUUAGUUAUUUAUUUUGAGAGAGAGAGAGUGGGAGGGAGAAGGAGAGAGAGAAUCCCAAACAGGCUCCAAGCUGUCAGUGCAGAGACCAACUUGGGGCUCCUUCCCCCCAAACUGUGAGAUCAUGGCCUGACCCAAAAUCAAGAGUCAAAUGCUUAACAUACUGAAGCACUCAGACACCCCAAGAUCAUUCUGUUUUAAAGGGUUGAAAAAAAUACAGGGAAGGAACAGUGCCAGUAAUACACUGUAAUGGGAUUUAUUUUGCUGGUUAAAGAAUACAUCACCUUUGUGUCAGCACCAGAUGGAAUAUAAGCAGAUUUUUAGUGACAAGUGAUAUAAUAUGGCAUCUGCUAUAGGUCUGUGGGACUGGUUUAUGUUGUGGUUUUAAUUAUAACGAUUUGAUCUAUAGUUUGAGUAUGAACAUUGAGAUUCUCCCCCGCCCCUGCCCCAACAAACUUUCCUUGUCAUUUUUUAUAGACAAAGAAAUAAGAAUGUGGAAGUAUAGUCAUUUGUCUGAGGUCACAGAGAGAGAUGAGUACACAGCUGGAAUGGGAGCCUUAUACUUGACUGAAACCUUGGCUUUGUCCACAGGCCCAGCUAGAGGCAUAAAGCUUUUCUCUUUCCCAGCAGUGACUUGGAGUACCAGCUUUCAGAGAUUUAUUUGACACUGAAUCUAAGCUUUGUGAUCAGUAUUUAGCAGGAGAAGAAGGGGAGGAAUUACUUAUCCUUUGACAUACAUUAGCAUGCAAAUAAAUCCUUUCUCUGCAUUGUGGAAGGGUCUGAAAUUGUCACAUAUACAAUAUAUCUUUCAUCAAUGGCCCUGAAUACAAAUGCUACUUUGAGGAAUCCACAUUUAGAACCCUUCUCCAAACAUUUACAGUACUUCUUUUUCUUAGGAUUAGAACUUCUAUCUACCGUGAUUUUUUUUUAACAAAAGGAGAAUUAUUAAUUAGGUUAUUCAUUAUUUACACUCCUCCAGUUGCCCCCAAAAUGUUUUCAUAUGGCCUGCACUGAUACAUAUGUCUACAGUAAAGCUUUGGGUUUAAAUAGAAAUUUUAACUAUGAAAAGGGAAUAU
rnacentral:lncRNA from 1 species